GAUGAACGCUGGCGGCGUGCCUAAUACAUGCAAGUCGAGCGAACAGAUGAGGAGCUUGCUCCUCUGACGUUAGCGGCGGACGGGUGAGUAACACGUGGAUAACCUACCUAUAAGACUGGGAUAACUUCGGGAAACCGGAGCUAAUACCGGAUAAUAUAUUGAACCGCAUGGUUCAAUAGUGAAAGACGGUUUUGCUGUCACUUAUAGAUGGAUCCGCGCCGCAUUAGCUAGUUGGUAAGGUAACGGCUUACCAAGGCAACGAUGCGUAGCCGACCUGAGAGGGUGAUCGGCCACACUGGAACUGAGACACGGUCCAGACUCCUACGGGAGGCAGCAGUAGGGAAUCUUCCGCAAAGGGCGAAAGCCUGACGGAGCAACGCCGCGUGAGUGAUGAAGGUCUUCGGAUCGUAAAACUCUGUUAUUAGGGAAGAACGAAUGUGUAAGUAACUAUGCACGUCUUGACGGUACCUAAUCAGAAAGCCACGGCUAACUACGUG
rnacentral:rRNA from 1 species